GCUGGGUGUGGUGGCGCAUGCCUGUACUCCCAGCUACUCUGGAGGCUGAGGUGGGAGGAUCACUUGAGCCUAGGAGGUCAAAGCUGCAGUGAACCAAGAUCAUGUCACUGCACUCCAGCCUAGGCAAUAGAGUGAGACCCUACCUCAA
rnacentral:SRP_RNA from 2 species